rnacentral:rRNA from 1 species
GCGAAGCCUUCGGGCUUAGCGGCGGACGGGUGAGUAACGCGUGGGAACGUGCCCUUCACUACGGAAUAGUCCCGGGAAACUGGGUUUAAUACCGUAUACGCCCUUCGGGGGAAAGAAUUUCGGUGAAGGAUCGGCCCGCGUUGGAUUAGGUAGUUGGUGGGGUAAUGGCCUACCAAGCCUACGAUCCAUAGCUGGUUUGAGAGGAUGAUCAGCCACACUGGGACUGAGACACGGCCCAGACUCCUACGGGAGGCAGCAGUAGGGAAUCUUAGACAAUGGGGGAAACCCUGAUCUAGCCAUGCCGCGUGAGUGAUGAAGGCCUUAGGGUUGUAAAGCUCUUUCGCUGGGGAAGAUAAUGACGGUACCCAGUAAAGAAGCCCCGGCUAACUCCGUGCCAGCAGCCGCGGUAAUACGGAGGGGGCUAGCGUUGUUCGGAAUUACUGGGCGUAAAGCGCGCGUAGGCGGACCAGAAAGUUGGGGGUGAAAUCCCGGGGCUCAACCCCGGAACUGCCUCCAAAACUCCUGGUCUUGAGUUCGAGAGAGGUGAGUGGAAUUCCGAGUGUAGAGGUGAAAUUCGUAGAUAUUCGGAGGAACACCAGUGGC